UCUCUCUCUCACUCUUCCUCUUGACGAAGAUGUGCUCUUCCUUCUCUCUUCUUUCUCUCUCUACAUCUAUGGCGGUUACUGCUGGUCUUCUUCUCCGAUCUUCUGUUUCCUCCGAUGAAUCCCUGUUGGAGCUGGUGUUGGUCGGUGAGGCAGUGGUCUCUGAUCCAAAGUUUCGACGGUUCUCCUUUGGUGACUCUUGGUUGAAGCGUGUGGGGAGGUUCUUAGCCUGGUGUAGUCGCUGUUGUGACCUGAGCCACAUCCUGACUUACGUGACCUUAGUCAAAUCUUUUCUGGUUUAGAUUCUUAGGGAUCUUGUGUUGAUUACUAAUGUCUUUACUUAGUGUGCAGGUGAACAAUCGGAUGAAGCUUGAGGUUCAGUCUAAGUGGAAGACUGAUUAGUAGCUAAGGUUUCCGACUUGUUUAGAUUGUACUAUGUAAUCUUGUAAUCUCUUUUGUAUUACGGCUUGUUCCUCUGAGAUUAGUCAUCUCAAUACGUAGUGUAUAAAAGAGGUUUCGGUAAUUAGUGAAUCUAUGGUGGUUUGAUUCCUACA